ACCGGGCUUGGUUACGCGAGCCUGUUACCCAAGUGGGGGUAUUAAAGUAGCGGGAAUUAUCGACCAUUGGAUGAACAGUUCAACACUGCUAAAGUUAGCAAGCAGGGCUUUAUAGGGAAGUUUCAAGACACAUAUGGGUUAAAUUUAAUUUGCCUGCAUUUGUAGGGAAGUUUGAAGUUUCCGAUGACACUUGGAGUUAAUUAACUGUGUUAAUUAUACUGGCUUAACAGAGCAGUUCUUGUCUAUUACACAUGCCUAAGCAACUAAAGUGGUUCUAUUCCGAUAAUGAUAAUGAUAAUUAGACCGUUACUUUU
rnacentral:SRP_RNA from 1 species